AACGAACGCUGGCGGCAGGCUUAACACAUGCAAGUCGAACGCCCCGCAAGGGGAGUGGCAGACGGGUGAGUAACGCGUGGGAAUCUACCCAGUUCUACGGAACAACAGAGGGAAACUUCUGCUAAUACCGUAUACGCCCUAAGGGGGAAAGAUUUAUCGGAAUUGGAUGAGCCCGCGUAAGAUUAGCUAGUUGGUGAGGUAAUGGCUCACCAAGGCGACGAUCUUUAGCUGGUCUGAGAGGAUGAUCAGCCACACUGGGACUGAGACACGGCCCAGACUCCUACGGGAGGCAGCAGUGGGGAAUAUUGGACAAUGGGCGCAAGCCUGAUCCAGCCAUGCCGCGUGAGUGAUGAAGGCCUUAGGGUUGUAAAGCUCUUUCAGUAGGGAAGAUAAUGACGGUACCUACAGAAGAAGCCCCGGCUAACUUCGUGCCAGCCGCCGCCGUAAUAC
rnacentral:rRNA from 1 species